rnacentral:misc_RNA from 1 species
CGCGCUACACUUCUCAAGUUCGAUUCCCAGUUCCAACGUUUAUGUUCUCUUGUUAUUCAACUUAACUAAUCCUAGCCGUCCAUUCCAUUUUCGAUAAUCUCAGCCCUUGUAAGUCUUAGUAUACCUGACCCUAACCUCAUCCUCACGAGAGUGCUCAUCUCCUCCAACUUUCUGCCGAUUAUGGAUGUCUUCCCUGCAUCCUCAUUUCUAUAUAUUUUUUUUCUCCAGCAACCCCUUGUGGUCCCUUUCGAUUUCUUACCCAUCUCUAAAUUUCUUUGAUUUAAAGCCUCCCUAUUUUAUAUUAUUUUUAUUUGUGUAGCUCUUAGUAUCUUUUCCAUCAACCACCGCUCUCCUCUCAUCUGCUUGUCCUUUCUCUCCUUAUUGGCCAUCGCUCUUCUCUGUGAUUUUAGGAGUUCUUAUGGCCCCAGUAUCAGCAACAAUUCUCCUUUUACAUGAGCAACUCAUAAGUGGCAAAGAGGUCAACAGUUCUCCUCUGCGAUUUUUGAGAGUUACUUUCCCUUACUAGCCUAGAUGGAAGAAAUUUUUAUGUUUAAAUUUAUGCUACUUAAUAGGUUUUAUUAAUUUGAUAGGUUUGUAAAUGAUGAUAAUGCAUUUUGGUAUUUAGUUAAAUACAUUAGAUUUGUUCUUUUUUUUUUUUAUAUAUAUACCUUGCUGUAAAUACAUCAAAUUUAUUAUUUUUUAUAUGUUUGCUAUAGAUCUAUGCCUUGUGAUGCUUGAAC